UACGGAGGGGGCUAGCGUUGUUCGGAAUUACUGGGCGUAAAGCGCACGUAGGCGGCUUUGUAAGUUAGAGGUGAAAGCCCAGGGCUUAACCCUGGAAUUGCCUUUAAGACUGCAUCGCUAGAAUCGUGGAGAGGUAAGUGGAAUUCCGAGUGUAGAGGUGAAAUUCGUAGAUAUUCGGAAGAACACCAGUGGCGAAGGCGACUUACUGGACACGUAUUGACGCUGAGGUGGCGAAAGCGUGGGGAG
rnacentral:rRNA from 1 species